UACGUAGGGGGCAAGCGUUGUCCGGAUUUAUUGGGCGUAAAGAGCGUGUAGGCGGCUUUACAGGUCCGUUGUGAAAACUCGAGGCUCAACCUCGAGACGCCGGUGGAAACCGUAAGGCUAGAGUCCGGAAGAGGAGAGUGGAAUUCCUGGUGUAGCGGUGAAAUUCGUAGAUAUUCGGAGGAACACCAGUGGCGAAGGCGGCUCACUGGUCCAAUACUGACGCUCAGGUGCGAAAGCGUGGGGAGCAAACAGG
rnacentral:rRNA from 1 species